ACAAACUUGGUCAUUUAGAGGAAGUAAAAGUCGUAACAAGGUUUCCGUAGGUGAACCUGCGGAAGGAUCAUUACAAAUCAUGGCGAACCUCGUGUUUCACGAGGUUUUUGCGUCCAUUUUUUCAUAUUUAAAACAUCCCACUCUUAAAAAAUAUUUAUUUAUGAUAAAAUAAAAAAAAGAUGACUUUCAACAACGGAUCUCUUGGGUCUCUUAGAGGAAGUAAAAGUCGUAACAAGGUUUCCGUAGGUGAACCUGCGGAAGGAUCAUUACAAAUCAUGGCGAACCUCGUGUUUCACGAGGUUUUUGCGUCCAUUUUUUCAUAUUUAAAACAUCCCACUCUUAAAAAAUAUUUAUUUAUGAUAAAAUAAAAAAAAGAUCACUUUCAACAACGGAUCUCUUGGCUCUCGCAUCGAUGAAGAACGCAGC
rnacentral:misc_RNA from 1 species